rnacentral:rRNA from 1 species
GAUGAACGCUGGCGGCGUGCCUAAUACAUGCAAGUCGAGCGAACAGACGAGGAGCUUGCUCCUCUGACGUUAGCGGCGGACGGGUGAGUAACACGUGGAUAACCUACCUAUAAGACUGGGAUAACUUCGGGAAACCGGAGCUAAUACCGGAUAAUAUAUUGAACCGCAUGGUUCAAUAGUGAAAGACGGUUUUGCUGUCACUUAUAGAUGGAUCCGCGCCGCAUUAGCUAGUUGGUAAGGUAACGGCUUACCAAGGCGACGAUGCGUAGCCGACCUGAGAGGGUGAUCGGCCACACUGGAACUGAGACACGGUCCAGACUCCGACGGGAGGCAGCAGUAGGGAAUCUUCCGAAAUGGGCGAAAGCCUGACGGAGCAACGCCGCGUGAGUGAUGAAGGUCUUCGGAUCGUGAAACUCUGUUAUUAGGGAAGAACAAAUGUGUAAGUAACUAUGCACGUCUGGACGGUACCUAAUCAGAAAGCCACGGCUAACUACGU